CCAGCAUCUUUAAAGAGCGCUUCCACGCACCUUGUCUCAUGGAAUGAAGAAAACGAGGCUUCGCGGUUAAGCAAGUGACGUGUCCUGGUCAGCAUCUUGUGGUCGGUGGUGCCAGGCCUUGACUAUUUUGAGCAGCAAGAAAAUAGUGUCCAUAUGUUCCUGUAAGUAAGAGGAGAUGCCAGAAUCUGUUCCCCUGCUGUCGCAUCAUCCCAGACACCACCCAUGGGAGCUCCAACAACAUUGAAAGCUAAACCGAGCAGCUUUUCAAAUCUCGUCCUAAAAUGGAAAUGGUGCAAUGUCUGGCCGAGGGAUGCUAGGCCAAGGGUGGACUGUCCGGAGCUUGGAAGCAAACAAGAAGAGAGCAAGAGGAGUCCAGACAUUGGAAAGCAGGUCCUAGCAGGUGAGGCUUCAAGGAAUUGGAUGUUGCAUCGUCUCAGGAGAACACGCUGGCGUCUGGAGCUGCCUGUGGCUGGCACCUGAUUCACGGGCUGUUCGGGCUGCAGAGGGAGAUGUUGCUUCUGCCAGGGACUGGAGAGCUGGUGUGACUCACCCUGCCUUUCAUCUGCAGUUGCUGGCUUGGCAGGAAUGAUUUUCAUUGCACCAUAACUCCGUCCGACCCCGUCCAUUUGGGGUGAUACAUUGACCGAAAUUACUCCUUAAGGAAAAAGAGCUAAUAUCGGCUUCCAGUCAAAGGUUUGACUCUUUGAGUCAUGGCUUCCUGGCUUUCCCCAUCAAGAACUGGAAGUCUCAGCGCACAGACAGGAAGUGAGCCGUGGGGAAGAACUGACCGCCAGCCUCUUCAUACCUCGCUGGCCAUGGGGCAGGGGCUGACCCGAGCAGGGGCUCCUCUCCAGAGACCCGCCAUAGCAGAGCAACAGGGCAAGAACCAGUGGAGGGACAGAAGCCCAGGACUGUCAGACCAAUGGGCCAGCAGAGAUGCACAAGGUGGGGGAUGGACCCAACUGUCUGCAGACACGAGAGGCAGGAACCCGCAGUGGGGGAGGGGUGUCCACGAGGUCCCCUACAGUGGGCCCGGUGGUUGCUGGCUGGUUUUCCUUAGAUAUCAGGGCAUGAAGCAGGAGUGGUACAUCCAAGUACAAUGUGUCAAGGAUGGGCAGGCAGCCAUGGGGUCACCAGGAUGGGAAUGGCCGGAAUGAAUGACUGGCGAUGCAUGGAUGUGUCUUCCCCCUGAGGAAUUCUGCGCUCAUCUUCCUGGCUUAAUUUCAUGCUACCUCAAAGGGGACCAGGGUGAUGGCACAGAGACCCCGCAGGCUCCCACCCAGCCCAGGUUCUUUGCUGAGCACGAACUCUCCAUACUCAUGGGAACAUUAAUUCACCCGUCUGUCCACCCUUCAUGCAGUAAAUGCUCGGGGUGCCACUAGACCUGAGGAUGGGUCUAGAUGCCGAGGGUACGAUUGUGGGCAGACCUGGGUCCUGAGCUCAGACCAGCUGGUUGUCCAAGAGAAGAACCCCCCAGCCUCCCUGCCCUCAUCAUACUCAAGCCCAUCUCAGCUGAUUUUCACACCCAAAUCCCCUGCCACCUCUCCCCACAUCUGAAGCCACCAAUCAAAAGGGGUGGCUUUGUGAGAUAGACAAGGCACAGACCCCACCUCCAAGGCCCUCUCAAACAGGAAAACCAAGGCAUGGCCGUGGCUCAGAAGACCAGCUCUCAUCCCUCCAUGACCACCAAGACCCCAUGGACUCGGGGAAGUCAUUUAACCUCCAUGAGCCCCUAGCAUGGUGAUAAAACUCAUUUUCUGGAGUUAUUCUGGGGCUCCAAUGGAAGUGAAUAUACCGUGUUUAUAAGGUUUUACAUUUUUAAGGUAAUUUCUAGAGAAACUCAAGCAGAAUGGCAAAGGAAGGACACAGCAGUUCCCAAGACUACCAGGCAUCCCAGGGUGGGAUGUGGACCUUCUGUGGUGUCCCAGGGCGGCAGGGAGCCACCAGGCCCCACAGGAAGGCGUCUCAAUUCUCUUUCAGCCUGAGAGAUGGGAGCUGGGGACACCAAGUCUGACUCUACUGGGGCCAAAGUAAGGCCACUGAGAUGGGCCACUUUGCAGCCCUGGGGUGGUGGGGGGGUGGGGCGGGCUAUGCAGCAUGGUUCUACCCCCGUCCCCUCCCGCCAUCUCUCCCUAUGUCCCAGCACCACUUCGCAGCAUCUGGGAGCCGCGACAGACCCUCCCACUCCGCGGGGGUCUCCCCCUCGGCGUCUCCAGGCUGGAGGAAGAUGCUGCUUUCCCCGUGGGCUCACGCAUCGCUCCCUUCAACGGCAUCGCCUGCGCCUGGGGCGGCUUCCCACCACAUUCUUGGCAGGCCGAGCCUGUCUCCAUCCUGCCUCGCUGUACAUGUGGGCCCCAUUUGCAGGGGGCGCAGCGCUGGGGCGCACGGCUGGCUGCUCUCCAUUCUCUGCCACUCAGCGUUCAUGGAUACGAGCGAGGCCGGCCCCAGGGAGGCUGCCAGGCCCCUAUACCCUCCAGUUCCCAUCACAGCCACCUCAGUUGCAGCACCUCAGUUGCUGUGUUGGACGGGGCAUCGGCAGGCUCUGCGUUGGGUGUGGAGCCCUGCCCAGGAUGCGCCAGGGACCAGCCAGUCCGAGCGCCACUUCCCAGAUUAAGGAGCUGAAAUGCACAGAGGGCAGGCGGACCGCCCCACAUCGGGUGGGUGACGGGUAGGUGCCGACUAGCUCAAGUCAGUGAGCGUCCACUGCCACUAGCAGCUCGGCCUUUCCAAGCACAUAAGGCUCAGCGAGGGCUCUUGACAGACCAGAGCCUUCUGCCCCAUUGCUAACGUUUGAAAACAAAAUGAACAAAGCCUCAGGAAGGGGCCAAAUCCUCCCCGUUCGGGCCACGCCCAGCACCCAUGGUCAGGCCUCUCUACACUGAGGCCACCGUCUCCAAAACCAAAUGGUCCUCCGGCAGCUGCAGGACUCCCAGGCAC
rnacentral:lncRNA from 1 species